rnacentral:rRNA from 1 species
CGGGGGGCAGCAGUGGGGAAUAUUGCGCAAUGGGGGAAACCCUGACGCAGCAACGCCGCGUGAGUGAGGAAGGACUUCGGUCUGUAAAGCUCUGUUAAUGUGGAAAAAGGGUACUUGGUCUAAUAGGCCGAGUAUUUGAUGGUACACAUAGAGGAAGCACCGGCUAACUUCGUGCCAGCAGCCGCGGUAAUACGAAGGGUGCAAGCGUUGUUCGGAUUUAUUGGGCGUAAAGCGCGCGUAGGUGGACCUUUAAGUCAGAUGUGAAAUCUCGGGGCUCAACCUCGAAACUGCGUCUGAAACUGGAGGUCUAGAAUCUUGGAGGGGGAAGGGGAAUUUCUCAUGUAGGGGUAAAAUCCGUAGAUAUGAGAAGGAACACCAGAGGCGAAGGCGCCUUCCUGGACAAGUAUUGACACUGAGGCGCGAAAGCGUGGGGAUCAAACAGGAUUAGAUACCCCCGU